UUUAUAAAUAAUAAUACUAAGUUAAAGUAGGUAUUCAAAUAUAUAAUUCUAUGGUGGAGAGAUUACGUCUUCAUCAUUAUAAUCAUCGUCAUUAUCAUCAUUGUCAUCAUCAUCAUCAUCAUAAUCAUUAUCAUCAUUAUCAUCAUCAUCAUCAUCAUCAUCAUCAUCAUAAUCAGCAUCGAGGGAGAUAAUACACCUUAAUGAAUCUAAAGCAUCUUGUGGUUGAGAAUAUAAUAAAUCGUCU